UUACGGCCAGAUCACCUCGAAACACCGGUUCUCGUACGAUCACCGAAGAUAAGCAACGUCGAGCGUGGUUAGUAUCUACAUGGGUGAAUGUUUGGGAAUACCAGGUGUUGGA